rnacentral:rRNA from 1 species
UACGUAGGGGGCUAGCGUUGUCCGGAAUCAUUGGGCGUAAAGAGCGUGUAGGCGGCCCGGUAAGUCCGCUGUGAAAGUCGGGGGCUCAACCCUCGAAUGCCGGUGGAUACUGUCGGGCUAGAGUGCGGAAGAGGCGAGUGGAAUUCCUGGUGUAGCGGUGAAAUGCGCAGAGUAUCAGGAGGAACACCGGUGGCGAAGGCGGGUCUCUGGGCCGAUACUGACGCUGGAGGAGCGAAAGCGUGGGGAGCGAACAGG